UACACGACCGUACCGCAAACCGACACUGGUGCGCGAGAUGAGUAUUCUAAGGCGCUUGAGAGAACUCAGGAGAAGGAACUCGGCAAAUUGACACCGUAACUUCGGAAGAAGGUGUGCCUUUAGUAGGUGAAGUCCCUCGCGGAUGGAGCCCAAUGAGGUUGCAAAAAAUCGGUGGCUGCGACUGUUUAUUAAAAAUACAGCACUCUGCAAACACGAAAGUGGACGUAUAGGGUGUGACGCCUGCCCGGUGCUGGAAGAUUAAAUGAUGGGGUGCAAGCUCUUGAUUGAAGUCCCAGUAAACGGCGGCCGUAACAAUAACGGUCCUAAGGUAGCGAAAUUCCUUGUCGGGUAAGUUCCGGCCUGCACGAAUGGCGUAACGAUGGCCACACUGUCUCCUCCUGAGACUCAGCGAAGUUGAAAUGUUUGUGAUGAUGCAAUCUCCCCGCGGAAAGACGGAAAGACCCCAUGAACCUUUACUGUAGCUUUGUAUUGGACUUUGAACAGAUCUGUGUAGGAUAGGUGGGAGGCUUUGAAGCAGGGUCGCUAGAUCUUGUGGAGCCAACGUUGAAAUACCACCCUGGUGUGUUUGAGGUUCUAACCUAGGCCCGUAAUCCGGGUUGGGGACAGUGCAUGGUAGGCAGUUUGACUGGGGCGGUCUCCUCCCAAAGUGUAACGGAGGAGUUCGAAGGUACGCUAGUUACGGUCGGACAUCGUGACGAUAGUGCAAUGGCAUAACCGUGCUUAACUGCGAGACUGACAAGUCGAGCAGAUGCGAAAGCAGGACAUAGUGAUCCGGUGGUUCUGUAUGGAAGGGCCAUCGCUCAACGGAUAAAAGGUACUCUGGGGAUAACAGGCUGAUACCGCCCAAGAGUUCAUAUCGACGGCGGUGUUUGGCACCUCGAUGUCGGCUCAUCUCAUCCUGGGGCUGUAGCCGGUCCCAAGGGUAUGGCUGUUCGCCAUUUAAAGAGGUACGUGAGCUGGGUUUAAAACGUCGUGAGACAGUUUGGUCCCUAUCUUCCGUGGGCGCUGCAGAUUUGAGGAAGCCUGCUCCUAGUACGAGAGGACCGGAGUGGACGCACCUCUGGUGUAACGGUUGUCACGCCAGUGGCAUUGCCGAGUAGCUAUGUGCGGAAGAGAUAACCGCUGAAAGCAUCUAAGCGGGAAACUCGUUUCAAGAUGAGAUCUGCCGGGGCCUUGAGCCCCCUGAAGAGUCGUUCAAGACCAGGACGUUGAUAGGUCGGGUGUGGAAGCGCAGUAAUGCGUUAAGCUAACCGAUACUAAUUGCUCGUGCGGCUUGACCGA
rnacentral:rRNA from 1 species